rnacentral:lncRNA from 1 species
CUCAGGACUCUCCAGAAUGUUUUCACCAGCAAAAAGGCCCUCAGCAGAUGCAGCCUCUCGACCUUGAACUUUCUAGCCUCCAAAAUGGACUAUCGGUACUGAAACCCAGCAAGCUGAAAUCAGCAAAACAAGAUGGUCUUGCUAACUUGAGGAAGCUGUAGCAGCUGGAAGCUCCAGAGAGGAGGGGGCUCAGAGUCUGCACAUCAAUGGGGAGACAUCAUUCUGGCUGCAUUAUGAAUGGAUGGUUUGGAGGAAGAAUGUGGAUAGCUAAACAAGAAGGAGAAUAGAAAGAAACUACUCUUAAGACUAUUGCAAUAUCCAGUGUUAUCUCAGGACCAAGGAAUUAAUGGUGCAAUGUGCUUUGUUUCUGACUGCAGACUAUAAUGUUUAUUCCUAUUGGGGGCAGAGCAAGAUUUCAGUUUCUUUUCUCAGCAACAAGAAAAUACUCUGUCUGAAAUCAAGCAACUUCUGGGAAGACCAAGAGUGAUGGAAACUAGAGUUACAAAGCAAAAACCCUACAUCCUGAAUGCCCAGCCCGGUCAAUGAAAUUUUUCUGUCUCAUUUAUCAGCUAACUUGGUCCUCUUCCCCUGGGAACAAAACUGAGAAGGGUUAAGAGAUAAUGUGGAAACAAACUCCCCAGCACUUGCCUAAGAGGGCAGCUGUGUACCCAGACCUUCUUUCCUCUAUGUCAUUGUACUAGAAAGAGAGAGUUCCAUACUCUUUAAUCUGAAUAGUUGGCACUCACUUAAAAAAGAAUGCAGCCUGAUUCCUCUCUGCCCCUCUAGCUAUUUCCAGAAAGUUGUUCAUGGGAUGAAUUGAAAGCCAACAAAGGGAGUUGUUAGUACAUAUUUCCAGGAAUGAAGUUGUCUGGAUGCAGCUAAUGCCUCCAUAGAACUGACAGUGCUGAAUUUACGAAAUGGAAAGAGUUCUGGAAAAGCAAGAAAAAAAGUCUUGUUUGAAACCCCACGUCUACUGUAGGCACAGAAGGGAAUGGAGGCAUCUGAGCAUUUUAUUUUCCAUCUCUACAGCACCUCAGAACACCUACAUUUUAUUUUUUUUCUUCUCAGAAAUGUCUUAAUAAGAGGACUGCAGUGUACUCAAGUUUCCCAAUGACAGGGUAGGGAUGCCAACCUUCUCUUUCAUUGGCAGCUCAUAGUAUCCAAGUUUCUCAAAACCCUAAGCCAUCUUAUUUGUUCUUUGGAACUUUGUGGCCUACCACAGUGCAAUUCUCAUUCGGUGUUUAAUAAAAUAUUUGUUAGCUCUUUUCUAAUUGAGAAGGUUCUGUUCUUUUCGCCUCAAGAAAUCACUUAGAAUACAAAUAGCAGUGCACAAUAAUUAGAUUUCAUUGAAUGUAAUUGAUUUGAAUGUUCAUGAAACAGUGCCUCCAGUAUGUUUUGUUUCACUUAAACUUUGAUGACACUUGAGAAGUUGCCUUGCCUUACCUAUCUGCCACCCCACCACUCCUCAGCAUCCGAUAGGCUGCUGUUCCUGUGCCAUCACUGUUGUUUGUCUGAAAGCCUUUUAAUUCGCUGUGGGUGAAGUUGAAUAGGAGUGCUCAGAUCUUCUAGCUCUACCACCUCAC